rnacentral:lncRNA from 1 species
UCUGAUUCAGGUCUCUUCAUGAGAAAUCACAACCCACUGUGAAAACUAUUUCUGUAUUGGAGAAUGGAUCUAACAGCAAGACUGGCACCGUGAGGAUAAGGGCCAGAAAAGGCGGAGGUGACUGACUUAUUGUUAGUGCUGUGAGUCACUGUUGAAAGUCAAGGCCAGCAUUUUGUCUGGGGAAAGUGUUUUCCUUCAGGACAGGGGGCAAAGAGGAGCUGACUUUAUUGCUGCAUCUUGCAACAGCUGCAUAGCUAGGAGUAGGGUUAGAGGCAGCCAGGUGAAAUACCCCAUUGCUGGUUCUGUGAGUGCUAGAAAUCUCUGUGGUGCAAUUCAAACUGAGCUGGAGUGAGAAGGAGGGCCCAGGGUACUACAACAAGCCUAGAGGACAAUGGGCUACUAAAUCAAUACAGUCAGACUUGGUGCCAGACACACGGAGGCUGAUGGCAGGGGCUCGGUGGAGCCAGUCGUCACAGAGGAAGACUCGGGAGGAACCUUGUCUCCAGAGAUAUAACCCUCUCUGUCACAGAGGACAAACGACCCAGCUGAAGGAGAAUGGCUUUAUCAUCUGGUGCAGACAACAGGCCAAGUGUUUCAGAAACUGCUUCAUAAGUGGCUCAGCUGUCUGGGCAGUGAUGACCGUCACAGGAGAUGGUGAGAGAAGGCCAGUCCACCAGGAUCACGACAAAGGGACCUAAACCAGGAGAAAGGUGGUGUUAAGAUCUGGGGGGAGCAGAACUAGGUAAAUACCAAUGCUUCCCAGGCAACACUUUUUGGCAAGCUGCUCACGGUUAUGGGUACAUGAUUGAAAGUGAAUGAGUUAACACAUUUAUAGGAGUCACCAUCCCUUGGCAGGAAGUUAUUAUCCUUCAACCGAGGAACAGUGGCUGUGUGUGUUCUGUUUUAUUGUGGCAUUCAGGACAAUAGGUUAGUUUAAAUCAUCUUAAAGCAUGCUAUUUUGAUAACUUGCUUCUGUAGGAGCAAGCCCUGAUUUUGCAUCUUUUAAAAAUUAUUAUUGCUAUUAUUAUUGCUAUUAUUAUUGCUAUUAUUAUUGCUAUUAUUAUUAUUAUUAUCAAGGGAAUACAAACCAUUAUAAAGUUUUACAAGGCCUCUUUUGAGAGGAGAUGUCCCACUGAUUCUCAUAAGGACUUUGACUGGUUGGCCUUGUUUGAAGAACUAAACCCCAGUUUAGAGGCUUUCAAAUUCAAGACAAUUUGAAUUAACCUCAAAGAUCUAGUAAGACAGAAGCUCUUUUUAAUGGGACAUUUCAUUAUUAUGUAAUUCUAAAGUAUUUGAAGAGAUUUCAUAGAAAAAAAUAGAAAAAUGUAAAUGAGUAAGUUUUUGAAUAGAAUGAAGAAAACUUCCCUGAGAAUGGUAAAGUUUUCUAUUGAGAAGAAUAUGAAAAUGAGGAUUUUAAAUAAAAAAAAUAGAAAAUUACCA